rnacentral:rRNA from 1 species
AUGCCCGAAGGGUGACGAAGCGACGCCGCGUGGGUGGGGAAGGCCCUCGGGUUGUAAAGCCCUGUCAGGAGUUAAGAAAUGUAGGUGUGCUAAUAUCACGCCUAUUUGACGAAGGCUCCAAAGGAAGUCACGGCUAACUCUGUGCCAGCAGCCGCGGUAAUACAGAGGUGGCAAGCGUUGUUCGGAAUUAUUGGGCGUAAAGAGCACGUAGGUGGGUUUGUAAGUCAGAUGUGAAAGCCUCCUGUUCAACGGGAGAAUUGCAUCUGAAACUACUGAUCUUGAGUGUAGGAGGGGAGAAUGGAACUUCUGGUGGAGCGGUGAAAUGCGUAGAUAUCAGAAGGAACGCCGGCGGCGAAAGCGAUUCUCUGGCCUAUUACUGACACUCAGUGUGCGAAAGCUAGGGGAGCAAACGGGAUUAGAUACCCCGGUAGUCCUAGCCGUAAACGAUGGGCACUAAGUAGAGGGGU